GAUGAACGCUGGCGGCGUGCCUAAUACAUGCAAGUCGGGCGAACGGACGAGAAGCUUGCUUCUCUGAUGUUAGCGGCGGACGGGUGAGUAACACGUGGAUAACCUACCUAUAAGACUGGGAUAACUUCGGGAAACCGGAGCUAAUACCGGAUAAUAUUUUGAACCGCAUGGUUCAAAAGUGAAAGACGGUCUUGCUGUCACUUAUAGAUGGAUCCGCGCUGCAUUAGCUAGUUGGUAAGGUAACGGCUUACCAAGGCAACGAUGCAUAGCCGACCUGAGAGGGCGAUCGGCCACACUGGAACUGAGACACGGUCCAGACUCCUACGGGAGGCAGCAGUAGGGAAUCUUCCGCAAUGGGCGAAAGCCUGACGGAGCAACGCCGCGUGAGUGAUGAAGGUCUUCGGAUCGUAAAACUCUGUUAUUAGGGAAGAACAUAUGUGUAAGUAACUGUGCACAUCUUGACGGUACCUAAUCAGAAAGCCACGGCUAACUACGUG
rnacentral:rRNA from 1 species